UCCACUUGCCGGCGCCAUAUCGAGGGAAACAAUAUCAUAUUACGGGGUGAUUCAAAGAAGAAACAACAACAAAAAAGACCCCGUUUUGUUCACUACACAGAGAGCCUCUCGUUGCGGGUGGUUCGCAAGGUCGCGGGAGAGGUCGCUUUCAACGGGGCUCUAUACGCACACGGAAAAUGGCAUACUGUUUUGGAAAUGAUCAAGUGACCGACGACGAGCCUUUUUCCUUUUGCCUUCUCUUCAUUCGUUUCACUAUUCGUCGCGCCGAUGCACAUUGUGUAGUGUUGUUUCGAAACCGUUUUUUCAACAUUUGCCUUUUUUUAUUUGCAAUUGUUGAAAUCGCGGAACGGAUGCACAAUUCACCGCCAACAUCACCGAGGCCAAUGUUGCCUCUGCUGCCAUGACGAACAAUGAGUGGAAAAUCAAAGCCUGCUACUACCGCUACUGCUACUUCUACCACCAGAAGGGCAACACCGAGAAGAGUGAAUUGAAGUGACCGAACACAACGGGAUGAUGUAAAAGCUGUUGUCACAGCAAAUGGGAAAACUGGUACGCAAUGAAGAAAUACUGCGGGAAUGUGGAGAGAUCGAAAAAGAAAAAGAACUGCUGUACACUACUGUCGGUGUGACACGCAGCUCCCCAUAUCUGUGGCUGCGAAUCUCUGAUGACACUAUGUUGCAUCUGCUCAGCGUCCGCUCACCACCAGAAAUGGGAGAGAACAUUUUUGGGGCCAAAUGUAUAUGUAGAUUACCCUUUUUGCCUUCUUUUCACUGCUGAUGAAAAAGAGAAUUUCACGGGAUUUCCCGCUAGCAAGAACCACAGCAACAAAAACAAAACAAAACAACAAAUGACAGCCGCGAGAUGUGUUGUCAAAGGUAAAAAAAACUCGCUCACUUUGAUCUACUAAUACACCCGAAUUCAACCCAAAACCUGCACUAAAUGUGUGUGCGCGAGAGAGCGCGAAUGAGUGAAGGAGAAAGCGCGCAGAGAACAAGUGGCUGGGAGUUUGUUUGAGAUCAGGUUCAACAAGAACAAAAAAAAGUUUAUAAACGAAAUGAUAAUAAACGGGAUCUCCGCAUCCCGCAUCUGGCGGGAAGCGCACACUUA